rnacentral:rRNA from 1 species
GCAUCGAUGAAGAACGCAGUGAAAUGCGAAAAUUAAUGCGAUUUGCAUCUGUGAGUCAUCUAGUCUUUGAACGCACCUUGCACCCAGUGCGUAAGCUCUGGGUAUGCCUGUUUGAGAAUCGCAAACAUCCUCAACCAUUCGGUUGGACUUGGUCCCUCCACGGACUGGAAUGCAGUAAGGGUCUAGUAACAGGACAUUGUGUGCCAGAGCGUCACAGUGGACAUUUACACGCCCUUUUCUUAAUCUCUCUUUUUUGAUCUCAAAUCAGGCAAGGCUACCCGCUGAACUUAAGCAUAUCAAUAAGCGGAGGA